UGGGGAUCCACACAUCUGAGACCGUGCAGGUGCAUGUCUGAUCCUACCUCAGUCCCAGCUACUUGAGAGGUUAUGGCCAGAGGAUCACUUGAACCCAGAAGUUUGAGAUCAGCCCAGGCAACAAAGUGGACCUCAUUUAAAAAAAGAGAAAUAGAUUUGAUGGCGCCUCUCAGGAAUUAAGGCUAAAUGAAGUCCUAAAGUUGGGUCCUGAUCCAGUAGGGCUAGAGUCCUUGUAAGACCAGGAGGUCACUUGUUCUGUGUGCACACCAAGGAAUGAGCAUGAGGACAGAGGAAGAAGGCUGCCCUCUACUAGCCAGACCACAGCUCUGCAACCAAACUGGCUUGUACUUCUAGAUUCCAGAAAAAUGAGAAAAUAAAUUUCUGUUGUUUAAGCCAUCCAGAAUGUAGGCUUUUGUUACGGCAGUCCAAGCAGACUAAUGUAAUAUGCCACACACUCACAGUAAG
rnacentral:lncRNA from 1 species